rnacentral:rRNA from 2 species
GUCUAGGGCCAUACCACCCUGAACACGCCCGAUCUCAUCUGAUCUCGGAAGCUAAGCAGGGUCGGGCCUGGUUAGUACUUGGAUGGGAGAUGUAGUCUCUUCAGAGGGAACACUGGAAGUAAAUA